rnacentral:rRNA from 1 species
CCUACGGGAGGCAGCAGUGAGGAAUAUUGGACAAUGGGCGCAAGCCUGAUCCAGCCAUGCCGCGUGCAGGAAGAAGCAUCUAUGGUGUGUAAACUGCUUUUGUACAGGAAGAAACACUCCCUCGUAAGGGAGCUUGACGGUACUGUAAGAAUAAGGACCGGCUAACUCCGUGCCAGCAGCCGCGGUAAUACGGAGGGUCCGAGCGUUAUCCGGAAUCAUUGGGUUUAAAGGGUCCGUAGGCGGUUUAAUAAGUCAGUGGUGAAAUCUGGUCGCUCAACGAUCAAACGGCCAUUGAUACUGUUAGACUUGAAUUAUAAGGAAGUAACUAGAAUAUGUAGUGUAGCGGUGAAAUGCUUAGAUAUUACAUGGAAUACCAAUUGCGAAGGCAGGUUACUACUUAUGGAUUGACGCUGAUGGACGAAAGCGUAGGGGAGCGAACAGGAUUAGAUACCCUGGUAGUCCACGCCGUAAACGAUGGAUACUAGCUGUUCGGAGCAAUCUGAGUGGCUAAGCGAAAGUGAUAAGAUCCCACCUGGGGAGUAACGUUCGCAAGAAUGAAAACCUNAAAGUAAGUAGUACGGACGAGAGAGAGACGACGACGACGACGAGGAGGGAGGAGG